rnacentral:tRNA from 1 species
GGGUUUGAAAGGAAAGACAAGAACUGCUAAUUACCUGUCAUCAUGGCUCAACUCCAUGACAUACCCG